UUAUUAACAGAUACUUUCGGUUGAUUUUUCACAUUUCAAGUUUUAAGAGAUUUGUGUAACAGGGUCUCUCAGGUCUUUAUACCUGUAACUAAUUAAUUUUCAUGAAAGUGCUAAGUAUAGGAUUGCCUACCAGAAGAAUAAUAUUAUUUAACACAGGGUGGCCCAUUAUGAAGCAGCCGCCUUUUUCUUUUCUUUCUUUUGGCGUGCCUUUAAAUGGAGCCUGUUUUAAAUGGGCCUUUGCCUAAAAGAACAGAUUUACCAAAUGUCUGGUCUGGCCAGUGAGGUCCUCUGUGGGUGCGGGUUUCCUGUUGCGCUCUGGACUUGUAAAGCUAAAUCGCCAAUUACAUCAAAAACUUCUCCCCUGUGAGUAGGACUUUGGUCUCUAGCUAAACAGCCUCAUCAUUGGACCAGCAGUUGAGUACUGCCAAUACUCCUUCUGAACAGCCUUCUGAGGGGAGAUUUAUGAUGCUCAGAGCAGAGACCAGCAGACAAAUCCCAUGCCCAGUCUGAGAGCGCUGUAGGAUCCUGGAAUUGCCUGGAAGAUUCUCUGAGCCUGAGCAGAGAAGCAGGAAUCGCCGUCUGCGUGGUCCCUGCUUUGUUGUUUUGUAGGUCCCAGGCGCUAGGCUUUCCUACUCACUGCCCAGCUUUAUUAGAAUAGAAUGCUAAUGUGGUUAGUCCUCUGUGUAGAACUUUCCGAUGUAGCUCCAGUUAUUAACUAAGAAAUGGCUCUCCGGCCUCACAAGGGAGGUCACCACAUCUUUCACAUGGCGACGCCCUCCACAGGCUUUAAAGAUCUAGGUAGGAUAAUUGACAAGCUGGGAAACUGAACAGUAUAUGAAUGUGUGACUUACACUCUCAUCCCCUAAGGCAGCUUCGGGGAACACGACUUCCUAGGUACUGUAUCCCAGCGUAGUUCCUAGGUACUGUAUCCCAGCGUAAUUCCUAGGUACUGUAUCCCAAUGUAGUUCCUAGGUACUGUAUCCCAGCGCAGUUCCUAGGUACUGUAUUCCAGCGUAGUUCCUAGGUACUGUAUCCCAGCGUAGUUCCUCAUCUGGAAGUUCUUUUGGUGAAGAGCCUAACACCGGCUAAGGGGAAAUAUUUUUAGACCAAAAAAGAGAAAUCAUUGCCAUCCACUUGUUAAAGAGAGUACUUUAAUUUAGAGGGUAACUUUGGCUUGCUAGUUUUCUCUGGCUCUUGUUAAAUAUUCUAAUAAUAAUUUUUAAAGAAACUAUAGGCUUAUGUAUUGCAUGGGAUCCCAAGAGUUUUUCAGGUCUAGAAUUAAUGAUCUUUGUGUUCAUUAAAAAAGAUCUUGGUGAAGGAUUCUGGCAGUACAAGAUGUGGUUUCUAUUUUUAGUACUUGCUUGCACUGAGUAAGUAAAAGCAGAU